rnacentral:rRNA from 1 species
ACUUUACCAUGCGGGCAACCGUGAUAAGGAAACCCCGAGUGCCAGCACAGGCUGGCUGUCCGCCAGUGUAAAUAACUGGUGAAGAAAGGGCCGGGCAAGACCGGUGCCAGCCGCCGCGGUAAUACCGGCGGCUCGAGUGGUGGCCACUAUUACUGGGCUUAGAGGGUCCGUAGCUUGAUAUGCAAGUCUCUUGAGAAAUCCGCCAGCUUAACUGGUGGGCGUUCAGGGGAAACUGCAUUUCUAGGGACCGGGAGAGGUGAGAGGUACCUGCCGGGUAAGAGUGAAAUCCUGUAAUCCCCGUGGGACCACCCACGGCGGAGGCCUCUCCCCAGGAACGGUCCGACCGUGAGGGACCAAAGCUGGGGGAGCAAACCGG